AACACAAUAGGCCCACCGGAAGGCGGGCCUGGAAAAU
rnacentral:rRNA from 1 species